UAAAUGACUUCGAGCUCUUACUCCUAAAGGUGACCAUGGAGUUAGAGCCGCGUCUGGAUUCAGACACAGGGUUAUACUGGAAACGGUAUGGCCUUCCGUAAUUGAAAAGGAGACAAGAUU
rnacentral:ncRNA from 1 species